AAAAAAAAAAAAAAAAAGAUAUAUUUAGACAUAACAAUUUUAUUCAAUUUAAUAUUUAAAAUUAGCUUACCACCAAUUAUGCAAAUAAAUUAACUAUAGGAGCCAAAAAAAAAAUCUAAUUUUUUGUGGUAUAAAAUUUGUCUCUAUUUAUUUUAUCCCUAUGGAGUCAAAAUUUUUUGUUACUAUUUAUUAUAAUAAUUAUAAAUUAUUAUUUUAAAACAUUAAUUAAUUUAAUGGGAGAAUUACUAUUUAGUCCUUGCAUUU
rnacentral:misc_RNA from 1 species